GUGCUUACUUCAGCAGCGCGUAUACUAAAAUUGGAACGGUACAGAGAAGAUUAGCAAUGGGCCCAGUGCAAGGAUUGAUACACAAAUUCCUAUGUUUGU
rnacentral:snRNA from 1 species